GAUGAACGCUGGCGGUGUGCCUAAUACAUGCAAGUCGAGCGAACAGACGAGGAGCUUACUCCUCUGACGUUAGCGGCGGGCGGGUGAGUAACACGUGGAUAACCUACCUAUAAGACUGGGAUAACUUCGGGAAACCGGAGCUAAUACCGGAUAACAUGUUGAACCGCAUGGUUCAACAGUGAAAGACGGUCUUGCUGUCACUUAUAGAUGGAUCCGCGUCGCAUUAGCUAGUUGGUAAGGUAACGGCUUACCAAGGCAACGAUGCGUAGCCGACCUGAGAGGGUGAUCGGCCACACUGGAACUGAGACACGGUCCAGACUCCUACGGGAGGCAGCAGUAGGGAAUCUUCCGCAAUGGGCGAAAGCCUGACGGAGCAACGCCGCGUGAGUGAAGAAGGUCUUCGGAUCGUAAAACUCUGUUAUUAGGGAAGAACAAAUGUGUAAGUAACUAUGCACGUCUUGACGGUACCUAAUCAGAAAGCCACGGCUAACUACGUG
rnacentral:rRNA from 1 species